rnacentral:rRNA from 1 species
AUUGAACGCUGGCGGCAGGCCUAACACCUGCAAGUCGAGCGGAGCGGCGGACGGGUGAGUAAUACCUAGGAAUCUGCCUGGUCGUGGGGGAUAACGUCCGGAAACGGGCGCUAAUACCGCAUACUAUCAGCUGAGCCUAGGUCGGAUUAGCUAGUUGGUGGGGUACCGGCGCACCAAGGCGACGAUCACUAGCUGGGCUGAGAGGAUGACCAGACAAACUGGAACUGAGACACGGUCCAGACUCAUACGCGAGGCAGCAGGGGAGAAGAUUGCACAAUGGGCGCAAUCAUGAUGCAGCCAUGCCGCGUGUAUGAAGAAGGCCGUCGGGUUGUAAAGUACUUUCAGCGGGGAGGCGUUACCCGCAGAAGAAGCACCGGCUAACUCCGUGCCAGCCGCCGCGGUAAUAC